rnacentral:rRNA from 1 species
GUCUCGUAGGUGACCUGCGGAGGGAUCAUUACACAAGUAAAAUACGAAGGCCGUUCGCGGCUGGACUAUUUAUUACCCUUGUCUUUUGCGCACUUGUUGUUUCCUGGGCGGGUUCGCUCGCCACCAGGACCACAAUAUAAACCUUUUUUAUGCAGUUGCAAUCAGCGUCAGUAUAACAAAUGUAAAUCAUUUACAACUUUCAACAACGGAUCUCUUGGUUCUGGCAUCGAUGAAGAACGCAGCGAAAUGCGAUACGUAGUGUGAAUUGCAGAAUUCAGUGAAUCAUCGAAUCUUUGAACGCACAUUGCGCCCUUUGGUAUUCCAAAGGGCAUGCCUGUUCGAGCGUCAUUUGUACCCUCAAGCUUUGCUUGGUGUUGGGCGUUUUUGUCUUUGGCCCGCCAAAGACUCGCCUUAAAAUGAUUGGCAGCCGGCCUACUGGUUUCGCAGCGCAGCACAUUUUUGCGCUUGCAAUCAGCAAAAGAGGACGGCAAUCCAUCAAGACUCCUUCUCACGUUUGACCUCGGAUCAGGUAGGGAUACCCGCUGAACUUAAGCAUAUCAAUAAGCGGAGGA